UACGGUGGGGGCUAGCGUUGUUCGGAAUUACUGGGCGUAAAGCGCACGUAGGCGGAUUGUUAAGUCGGGGGUGAAAUCCCGGGGCUCAACCCCGGAAUGGCCUCCGAUACUGGCAAUCUUGAGGUCGGGAGAGGUGAGUGGAAUGGCGAGUGUAGAGGUGAAAUUCGCAGAUAUUCGCCGGAACACCAGUGGCGAAGGCGGCUCACUGGCCCGAUACUGACGCUGAGGUGCGACAGCGUAGGGAGCAAACAGG
rnacentral:rRNA from 1 species